rfam:Tistlia consotensis strain TSBA 355 genome assembly, contig: Ga0111602_137
CGGGGAGUAGCGCAGUCUGGUAGCGCAUCUGCUUUGGGAGCAGAGGGUCGCUGGUUCGAAUCCAGUCUCCCCGA